CCCAGACUCCUACGGGAGGCAGCAGUGGGGAAUAUUGCACAAUGGGGGAAACCCUGAUGCAGCGACGCCGCGUGAGUGAAGAAGUAAUUCGUUAUGUAAAGCUCUAUCAGCAGGGAAGAAAAUGACGGUACCUGAGUAAGAAGCCCCGGCUAACUACGUGCCAGCAGCCGCGGUAAUACGUAGGGGGCAAGCGUUAUCCGGAUUUACUGGGUGUAAAGGGAGCGUAGGCGGCGCGUUAAGUCUGAUGUGAAAACCCGAGGCUCAACCACGGGAGUGCAUUGGAAACUGGCGGGCUGGAGUGCCGGAGAGGUAAGCGGAAUUCCUAGUGUAGCGGUGAAAUGCGUAGAUAUUAGGAGGAACACCAGUGGCGAAGGCGACUUUCCGGACUGUACCUGACGCUGAGGCGCGAAAGCGUGGGUAGCGAACGGGAUUAGAUACCCUUGUAA
rnacentral:rRNA from 1 species